rnacentral:rRNA from 1 species
GACGAACGCUGGCGGCGUGCUUAACACAUGCAAGUCGAACGGAAAGGCCCUGCUUUUGUGGGGUGCUCGAGUGGCGAACGGGUGUGUAACACGUGAGUAACCUGCCCUUGACUUUGGGAUAACUUCAGGAAACUGGGGCUAAUACCGGAUAGGAGCUCCUGCUGCAUGGUGGGGGUUGGAAAGUUUCGGCGGUUGGGGAUGGACUCGCGGCUUAUCGGCUUGUUGGUGGGGUAGUGGCUUACCAAGGCUUUGACGGGUAGCCGGCAUGAGAGGGUGACCGGCCACAUUGGGACUGAGAGACGGCCCAGUCUCCAACGGGAGGCAGCAGUGGGGAAUAUGGCACAAUGGGCGGAAGCCUGAUGCAGCAACGCCGCGUGCGGGAUGACGGGCUUCGGGUGGAAAACCGCUUUCGCCUGUGACGAAGCGUGAGUGACGGUAAUGGGUAAGGAAGCACCGGCUAACUACGUG